UGGGGAAUAUUGGACAAUGGGCGAAAGCCUGAUCCAGCCAUGCCGCGUGUGUGAAGAAGGUCUUCGGAUUGUAAAGCACUUUAAGUUGGGAGGAAGGGCAGUAAGCGAAUACCUUGCUGUUUUGACGUUACCGACAGAAUAAGCACCGGCUAACUCUGUGCCAGCAGCCGCGGUAAUACAGAGGGUGCAAGCGUUAAUCGGAAUUACUGGGCGUAAAGCGCGCGUAGGUGGUUCGUUAAGUUGAAUGUGAAAGCCCCGGGCUCAACCUGGGAACUGCAUCCAAAACUGGCGAGAUAGAGUAGGGCAGAGGGUGGUGGAAUUUCCUGUGUAGCGGUAAAAUGCGUAGAUAUAGGAAGGAACACCAGUGGCGAAGGCGACCACCUGGGCUCAUACUGACACUGAGGUGCGAAAGCGUGGGGAGCAAACAGG
rnacentral:rRNA from 1 species